rnacentral:rRNA from 1 species
GAUGAACGCUGGCGGCGUGCUUAACACAUGCAAGUCGAACGGUGAAGCAGGAGCUUGCUCUUGUGGAUCAGUGGCGAACGGGUGAGUAACACGUGAGCAACCUGCCCCUGACUCUGGGAUAAGUGCUGGAAACGGCGUCUAAUACUGGAUAUGUGAUGUGACCGCAUGGUCUGCAUCUGGAAAGAAUUUCGGUUGGGGAUGGGCUCGCGGCCUAUCAGCUUGUUGGUGAGGUAAUGGCUCACCAAGGCGUCGACGGGUAGCCGGCCUGAGAGGGUGACCGGCCACACUGGGACUGAGACACGGCCCAGACUCCUACGGGAGGCAGCAGUGGGGAAUAUUGCACAAUGGGCGGAAGCCUGAUGCAGCAACGCCGCGUGAGGGAUGACGGCCUUCGGGUUGUAAACCUCUUUUAGCAGGGAAGAAGCGAAAGUGACGGUACCUGCAGAAAAAGCACCGGCUAACUACGUGCCAGCCGCCGCAGUAACAC